GACGAACCGUGCGAACGUUAUUCGGAAUCACUGGGCUUAAAGCGCGUGUAGGCGGGACGGCACGUCGGUCGCUGAAAUCCCCCGGCUCAACCGGGGAACGGGCGCCGAUACGACCGGCCUGGAGGGACGUAGGGGGACCUGGAACUUCCGGUGGAGCGGUGAAAUGCGUAGAUAUCGGGAGGAACACCUGUGGCGAAAGCGGCUCACUGGACCACAACUGACGCUGAGGCGCGAAAGCUAGGGGAGCAAACAGG
rnacentral:rRNA from 1 species